rnacentral:lncRNA from 1 species
UGGGCAGAAAAAAAGUUGGGCAGGACAGAUCUGCCAAGUCUCCUGCCCCUUAUCUCAUGCAACACGGCCCCAGCCAGGCAAUCACCCACGAGCCCCUGCCUUCCCUGUCGGUCCAAUCUCCAGCUGGAGAUCUUCUGCCGGUUGAGCACAGACUGCUUGCAGCUUUGUACCUGUGCCACUGUGCUCGCAGGAGGCUGUAGUCUGGAGCUACUGCAUAUCAGGUCCUUCUGCAAAGUGUCUUUGGUCUGGACUAGGAAUCCCCAGAUUCCUCAUACUGAAAGCCUCAGGCUAUCCAUAAACUCUGGAUAUGGACUGAGUAUCUUUGCUUACACCAGUCCUGCUGGAUGUUAUGGAGAACUGAGAACUAGAACUUUGUUUCCUGGCCAUCUCCAGCUGUUAUCAAAUCUCCUGGUGUACGAAAUAGGUUGGUAAUUCCUCAUAUAUUCAUAUUUCACACUGGCAGGGGCUGAAUGAAUGCGAAACAAAAACAAAACCCCCUGCAAGCAGAGAUGAUCAUAGAAAGAUUGACUCCUGCAACCCAGUGCUACCUUUGAGGAACUCAGAAAAAGCUAGCCAAAUAUAUCAUCUGUUUGUGGUGGAAUGUGUAAAUUAUAUCUAUUUAUGAAUUUCUAAGUUAUGAAACUACAAAUAUCUCAGCUGCAGUUUGCGCAUUAGUACAUGAAAUAGUGUGGAGAUUCACUAUGUGUUUGAUUCCGGGACAUGCAGAGCUCAUAUUUGCAUUAAAAAAAAACAAGACAAGACUAGAGCAGCCAACAGGAACCAUUGCAAAACUUCUGUGUUCAGAGAAUUUACCAGAGCUCAUCACAGAAAAGUAGUAAUUACUUGAUGAGCCCGUUUCCCAGAUUAUGUAUCAGGCAUUUCCAGUGCCUUUUAGCUGGCUCUCUGGCAAUGAAUCAGCCAGAUUUGCAUCAGCCAGAAGGCUCAGUGGCUGUGGUAGCCUGACAGUAUGGUCAUAAUUUUUAUAUUUCUGUUUUCCUUCAGUGGUUCACCUCUCACCUCUCUUUUUCUCUCAAUGCCUGUUCUUCAAACUGGGAGGGUGCCCUUUUUCAUCACCAACCUCCUUAAACUGUUUUGGAAUGAUGCUUGCAUCUCUAGGCAGAAAGAUCAUCGAUCAUCUAAGGCCAGAAGCUGAAACGGCGUAGUGGCAUCAGAAGCUUUGCUGAUUGCCCUGGGUAGCCCACAGCUGCCUGUAUCUCUUCCUCCAUUGAUUUUUCGCUCCCUGGGGCCCCAAAAUCCACUGAGAAACAAACAUGAUGAUUUUAAUGCACUAACGGCCUUUUUUCAUUUUGUUUUUUGAAAUGGAAGCAAUUUAAAUCUAUAUGCCAUAGGGCUUUCACAUUUAUGUGCCAGUGCACAUCUAAUCCCAUGGUGGAGUAGCUGUCUGGCCUCCAGUUGAAUGUUUCAACACAUACAUGCCUUUUCAUUGCAUGACUAGAUAUGCACUGAUCACACUGUAGUGUAUGGCUACAUCUUGCCAUGUGAUGAGUAUGCAUUAAGUACGUACAAGAAAGAUGCUGCAGGGUAGUCAGAUGGCAGGGAGCAGGCCAUGGGCUAAAUUAAUUGUGUGGGUGAAAUGGGUGACGUGUACACAGCGUGGGCUGGAAUCCCCUGCUUUGGAGAGCAAGCCCUUAAGGUUAACGUACACCCUUGAUCUAAUAACUCCUUGCCUUGGUUAGUGUACUGUCUGUUGUCCACUGUAUCUAUUUUAACUGAUAGCUCUUCAGGGUAGGAGUUACCUUCAAGGGUGUUUCUAGCCCAGUGGGACCCAAACUCUAGUUGAAUUUUCAGCAUGCUGCUAUACUACAAACAACGACAAAGAUGGGAAAAAAAUGGAACAACCACUGAAAUGUGGAGCGUUUCUAUAAACGCUUACAGAAAUGCUAAAUACCAUUGGCAUAGAAUGAUUGUGAUGCUUCUUGCAAGCAUGAAUAUCUUUAGACUUUGAUGGUCAAUGUUUUCUUGCCUAUGUUCUAGCCUAUUAGUCAGGUUCUGUAUUAGAGAGGUCUUUCUUUAUGAUAGAACUACCCCGAUCCUUUGUCUCACAAAUACAUGCCCUUCCCCUUGAUUAAAGUUGCAUAGAGCCUUCAGCUGUGUCAACGAUGUAGUUUGCAUUUUACUUGGCUUACAAGCCUUGGGACUUUGUGUUAUGUUAUAGAGGAUAUGCUAUACAACAAUUCGCCUGGAACCAAGCAACAUGUGUUUGCCUGGUAAUGAGUGGUUUUCUGCUUGCAGAGUCUGACUUCUGUUGAGAGGAUUGUAUUCCAGUCAUCUUCUAGGCAUUUAGUGUGAUUUUUUUACACAUAUUUUUGAAAGUUUUUGGCCAGCCACACUGAUUUGGGAUGGGUAUGAAUACGGUUGCUAGGGCUGUUGGUCCUCGAGCUGGUAGAGCUGACCACGAGUAAUGUGGAACCCCUGAAGAAUCAGUUGGGUCCUUUAAUUAUUAUUCUAUGAUUGCCUAACACUAGGUUUUUGAACCCCUAUCAAUUUUUUAAAAAUAAAUUAUUUUAUGGUUUGGGGACA